GGCUGGCAACAGCUCUUACCU
rnacentral:miRNA from 1 species